rnacentral:rRNA from 1 species
CACGUAGGGCGCAAGCGUUGUCCGGAAUUAUUGGGCGUAAAGAGCUCGUAGGCGGUCUGUUGCGUCCGCUGUGAAAACUCGGGGCUUAACCCCGAGCCUGCAGUGGAUACGGGCAGACUAGAGGUAGGUAGGGGAGAAUGGAAUUCCCGGUGUAGCGGUGAAAUGCGCAGAUAUCGGGAAGAACACCCGUGGCGAAGGCGGCUCUCUGGGACGGUACUGACGCUGAGACGCGAAAGCGUGGGGAGCAAACAGG